rnacentral:rRNA from 1 species
CCUACGGGGGGCAGCAGUGAGGAAUAUUGGUCAAUGGGCGCGAGCCUGAACCAGCCAAGUAGCGUGAAGGAUGACUGCCCUACGGGUUGUAAACUUCUUUUAUAAAGGAAUAAAGUGAGGCACGUGUGCCUUUUUGCAUGUACCUUAUGAAUAAGGAUCGGCUAACUCCGUGCCAGCAGCCGCGGUAAUACGGAGGAUCCGAGCGUUAUCCGGAUUUAUUGGGUUUAAAGGGAGCGUAGAUGGGUUGUUAAGUCAGUUGUGAAAGUUUGGGGCUCAACCGUAAAAUUGCAAUUGAUACUGGCAGGCUUGAGUACAGGUGAGGUAGGCGGAAUUCGUGGUGUAGCGGUGAAAUGCAUAGAUAUCACGAAGAACACCGAUUGCGAAGGCAGCUUACUAAACUGCAACUGACGUUGAUGCACGAAAGUGUGGGUAUCAAACAGGAGUAGAUACCCCUGUAGUC